rnacentral:misc_RNA from 1 species
UAAGUACGUUAACCGGGUUGAUGUGCAUAAUAGCGCUGAUGCCUUGGUCUUUGAACGCACAUUGCGCCCGUCAGUAUUCUGGCGGGCAUGCCUGUUCGAGCGUCAUUACGCCCCUCAAGUCCCCUGUGGACUUGGUGUUGGGGAUCGGCGAGGCUGGUUUUCCAGCACAGCCGUCCCUUAAAUUAAUUGGCGGUCUCGCCGUGGCCCUCCUCUGCGCAGUAGUAAAACACUCGCAACAGGAGCCCGGCGCGGUCCACUGCCGUAAAACCCCCCAACUUUUUAUAGUUGACCUCGAAUCAGGUAGGACUACCCGCUGAACUUAA